rnacentral:lncRNA from 1 species
AGCUGACUUUGACAUUCUCGACAAAUUAAAUUAUGUGCAUCCUUCUCUGUGAAUUUCAAUUAUCUUCUACCACUUUUUCUUCUUGCAAUGAUGGAGUAUAUCUAAGUUAUAGGUAUAUUCACGACAUGUAUAUUGCAAAUCUUAGCCUUUUCAGGUGUGUUGAUCUUCCUGUGGGAUCGUAGAUAAGCGAUGGUAGAUAUUGAGAGCACAUGAUUGUGCACUAGAACAACAUCAUCCAAUCUUCACUUACCAAUCAUAGAAUUAAG